rnacentral:rRNA from 1 species
GGGAUAACCUGGGGAAACUCGGGCUAAUACCGCAUAAUCUCUUUGGAGCAAAGCGGGGGAUCUUCGGACCUCGUGCUAUAAGAUGAGCCUACGUCGGAUUAGCUUGUUGGUGGGGUAAUGGCCUACCAAGGCGACGAUCCGUAGCUGGUCUGAGAGGACGAUCAGCCACACUGGGACUGAGACACGGCCCAGACUCCUACGGGAGGCAGCAGUGGGGAAUAUUGGACAAUGGGGGAAACCCUGAUCCAGCAAUGCCGCGUGUGUGAAGAAGGCCUUCGGGUUGUAAAGCACUUUCGGUGGGGAAGAAAUUCUCAAGGGUAAUAUCCUUGGGCGUUGACGUUACCCACAGAAGAAGCACUGGCUAACUCUGUGCCAGCAGCCGCGGUAAUACAGAGAGUGCAAGCGUUAAUCGGAAUCACUGGGCGUAAAGCGCGCGUAGGUGGAUAUUUAAGUCGGAUGUGAAAGCCCUGGGCUUAACCUGGGAAUUGCACCCGAUACUGGGUAUCUUGAGUAUGGUAGAGGGAAGUGGAAUUUCCGGUGUAGCGGUGAAAUGCGUAGAUAUCGGAAAGAACACCAGUGGCGAAGGCGACUUCCUGGACCAAUACUGACACUGAGGCGCGAAAGCGUGGGGAGCAAACAGGAUUAGAGACCCUGGUAGUCCACGCCGUCAACGA